AUUGAACGCUGGCGGCAUGCCUUACACAUGCAAGUCGAACGGCAGCACGGGGCAACCUGGUGGCGAGUGGCGAACGGGUGAGUAAUGCAUCGGAACGUACCUUUCAGUGGGGGAUAACGUAGCGAAAGUUACGCUAAUACCGCAUAUUCUGUGAGCAGGAAAGCAGGGGAUCGCAAGACCUUGCGCUGAUUGAGCGGCCGAUGUCAGAUUAGCUAGUUGGUGAGGUAAAGGCUCACCAAGGCGACGAUCUGUAGCGGGUCUGAGAGGAUGAUCGGCCACAGGGGAACUGGGACACGGUACAGACGCGUACGGGAGGCAGCAGUGGGGAAUUUUGGAGAAGGGGGGCAACCCUGAUCCAGCCAUGCCGCGUGAGUGAAGAAGGCCUUCGGGUUGUAAAGCUCUUUCGGCCGGGAAGAAAUCGCACGGGCUAAUACCCUGUGUGGAUGACGGUACCGGAAUAAGAAGCACCGGCUAACUACGUGCCAGCCGCCGCGGUAAUAC
rnacentral:rRNA from 1 species